CCUUUCUACGGAGAUUUCAGGCCACUGUCUGGUGGCCGGUGUGUGCUCCCUUGCCCCGGAUGUGCCGGGUGUGUGGGGGUUGCUGGUGUGGAAGAGUGGAGUCGGCCUUCGGGCGUGCCGGUCGUGCGGUGCGUCCAGGAGUGGUGCGGGCAUGCUUUUGGGUUCCCGGACCGCCACCCCGCGCCGUUUGGCGUGGCUGGUGUUCCGUGCCCCGUGCCGGUCGCCCGUCCCCUGGUGGGGUGGGUGGGCUCGCGUGCGGGUGCGUGGUGGUUUGAGAACUGGAUAGUGGACGCGAGCAGGGGACGCCCUUUCGGGGGUGUCUUCUGCUGUUGAUUUCGCCGGACUCUUCGGAGUCUGGUGUUUGAUCGUUUUGUGUGUGAUCAUUUGUGUGAUGAUUUGUGUUGCCAGCGGAGUUUUUGCCGUGGGCUUGCGGUUUCCCGCCGUUCCCGGAUGGGUCGUGCG
rnacentral:misc_RNA from 1 species